rnacentral:tRNA from 1 species
GCGGAAAUAGCUCAGUUGGUAGAGCAUAACCUUGCCAAGGUUAGGGUCGCGAGUUCGAGUCUC